rnacentral:rRNA from 1 species
CGCGAAACCUUUACACUGCACGACAGUGCGAUAGGGGAACUCCGAGUGCGAGGGCAUAGAGCCCUCGCUUUUCUGCACCGUAAGGUGGUGCAGGAACAAGUGCUGGGCAAGACCGGUGCCAGCCGCCGCGGUAAUACCGGCAGCACGAGUGAUGGCCGAUCUUAUUGGGCCUAAAGCGUCCGUAGCUGGCCGUGCAAGUCCGUCGGGAAAUCCAGUGGCUCAACCUCUGGGCUUCCGGCGGAAACUGCUCGGCUUGGGACCGGAAGACUCGAGGGGUACGUUCGGGGUAGGAGUGAAAUCCCGUAAUCCUGAACGGACCACCGAUGGCGAAAGCACCUCGAGAGCACAGAUCCGACAGUGAGGGACGAAAGCUAGGGUCUCGAACCGGAUUAGAUACCCGGGUAGUCCUAGCUGUUAACGAUGCCCGCUCGGUUCGGCGCAGGCUACGAGCCUGUGCCGCGCCUCAGUGAAGACGUAAGCGGGCCGCCUGGGAAGUACGUCCGCAAGGAUGAAACUUAAAGGAAUUGGCGGGGGAGCACUACAACCGGAGGAGCCUGCGGUUUAAUUG